CUUGCAGGGUACUCGAGUGGCGAACGGGUGAGUAACACGUGGGUGAUCUGCCCUGCACUUCGGGAUAAGCUUGGGAAACUGGGUCUAAUACCGGAUAGGAACCAUCUUUAGUGUGGUGGUUGGAAAGUUUUUUCGGUGUAGGAUGAGCUCGCGGCCUAUCAGCUUGUUGGUGGGGUAAUGGCCUACCAAGGCGGCGACGGGUAGCCGGCCUGAGAGGGUGUACGGCCACAUUGGUACUGAGAUACGGCCCAG
rnacentral:rRNA from 1 species